rnacentral:rRNA from 1 species
AGAGUUUGAUCCUGGCUCAGGACGAACGCUGGCGGCAGGCUUAACACAUGCAAGUCGAACGAACCCUUCGGGGUGAGUGGCAGACGGGUGCGUAACACGUGGGAACCUACCCUAAGGUACGGAAUAACAUCGAGAAAUCGUUGCCAAUACCGUAUGUGCCCUUCGGGGGAAAGAUUUAUCGCCUUAGGAUGGGCCCGCGGCUGAUUAGGUAGUUGGUGGGGUAAAAGCCUACCAAGCCGACGAUCAGUAGCUGGUCUGAGAGGAUGAUCAGCCACACUGGGACUGAGACACGGCCCAGACUCCUACGGGAGGCAGCAGUGGGGAAUAUUGGGCAAUGGGCGCAAGCCUGACCCAGCCAUGCCGCGUGAGUGAUGAAGGCCUUAGGGUUGUAAAACUCUUUCGCCGGUGAAGAUAAUGACGGUAACCGGUAAAGAAGCCCCGGCUAAUUUCAUGCCAGCAGCCGCGGUAAUACGAAAGGGGCUAGCGUUGUUCGGAAUUACUGGGCGUAAAGCGCGCGUAGGCGGGCUAUCAAGUUGGGGGUGAAAUCCCGGGGCUCAACCCCGGAACUGCCUCCAAAACUGGUAGCCUAGAGGAUGUGAGAGGAUAGUGGAAUUCCGAGUGUAGAGGUGAAAUUC